UAUUAAUGAAUUAAUAUUUCUGUAUGAUAGUUUCAAGGUGUAUGGAUUCUGUUUAAAGAAAUUGUUCAAAUUAAACUUUAAAAGAUUUUUCUGUACAUACAUGUAAUGCCAUCUUUAUUUCUGACCAGGAUAGUAUAACAAAUUAGGGUUGUAUAGGGAGGGAACUGUUUUGUAAUUAUAAACAAGCAAGUAGGAAGCUACCAGAUCCAGAAACCAUAAUCUAAGGGUCCUUACUCAUUAUCAUAUUUUCUGAUUUUGUGCAAACCAAAGAUUAAAUAGAUUGGUUUGGCAGCAAAGAAAUUGCAUGUAUUUUGAUAUUUGUCUUUUGGGUUUUAAAGUUUAGUCUAUAUGUUUGAUAGCAGUGUUUUAUUGUUUUGUUCAUAUUUUAUAUUAUUUAUUGUUUAUUAUACAAAUUAACAAGUCUACCUCU
rnacentral:lncRNA from 1 species